GGUAGGUCCUGGCAGGGACCCCGGACGAGGGAGCCGUACCCGGUGCGCGACAAGACGGCCUCGGA
rnacentral:ncRNA from 1 species